UUAAAUUGAAGAGUUUGAUCAUGGCUCAGAUUGAACGCUGGCGGCAGGCCUAACACAUGCAAGUCGAACGGUAGCACAGAGAGCUUGCUGCUU
rnacentral:rRNA from 1 species